rnacentral:rRNA from 1 species
AUUGAACGCUGGCGGCAGGCCUAACACAUGCAAGUCGAGCGGAGCGGCGGACGGGUGAGUAAUGCCUAGGAAUCUGCAUGGUAGUGGGGGAUAACGUCCGGAAACGGGCGAUAAUACCACAUACUAUCAGAGAAGCCUAGGUCGGAUUAGCUAGUUGGGGUGGUAAAGGCCUAACCAGGCGACGAUCCGUAACUGGGCUGAGAGGAGGAUCAGGCACACUGGGACUGAGACACGGUCCAGACUCCUACGGUAGGCAGCAGUGGGGAAUAUUGGACAAUGGGCGAAAGCCUGAUCCAGCCAUUCCGCGUGUGUGAAGAAGGUCUUCGGAUUGUAAAGCACUUUAAGUUGGGAGGCGUUACCAACAGAAUAAGCACCGGCUAACUUCGUGCCAGCAGCCGCGGUAAUAC